rnacentral:rRNA from 1 species
UACGUAGGGGGCAAGCGUUGUCCGGAAUCAUUGGGCGUAAAGAGCGCGUAGGCGGUUCGGUAAGUCCGCUGUGAAAGUCCAGGGCUCAACCCUGGAAAGCCGGUGGAAACUGUCGAGCUAGAGUCCGGAAGAGGCGAGUGGAAUUCCCGGUGUAGCGGUGAAAUGCGCAGAUAUCGGGAAGAACACCCGUGGCGAAGGCGGCGCUCUGGAACGCAACUGACGCUGAGACGCGAAAGCGUGGGGAGCAAACAGG